GGGGCGCCUCUCGCGCCGCGCGUCUCUCGCUACUUUUCUCGCCCGGCCGCCGCCCCUCCCCCUCCGAGGGUGGAGGACGCCGCGGAGCUUGGGCCGCCCGGAUCAAGAUGGCGGCCGGCGCCCACCCCUGGGCUUUGUCAUUGGACGGCGCCUCACCCCCAGAAAACUUAACCUUUUGACAAUUACCAGUGUAAACAUAUCACAAUAAUAUAUUUAACAAUGUUAUUGUGGUGUCGCUGCAAUAAAUAACUGGUACCACUUGGGUCUCCUUAAUGAACAAAGCCUGGAAUAAGAUUUUUCUGGGCAGCUGCUCCUUUAUUCACCAAGAUGCUUCCCAUUUUUUUGUGUGGAUCUGGUCCAUUAAGAAGACUGAAAUGUGCAUCCUUUGGGUGUGCUUAACACAAAGCUCUACAAAGCUCUCCAAGGUUAGUCUGCCAGACUGUGUCUCCUGUGGAUGAAAUUGGCUGCACUUGAAUGAGCAAUGAUGUAUGAAGACCUUUAAAAAGAACAGGACCCAUGAUAGAACUUGAGCACUAUUUUGAGCAUUGAACCCUUUGUGUUGCAAUGGAGAAAACUCCACCAAGUCAAAUGAGAGCACAAGUAUAUACCAUCGAGCUUUAUCUAAGCAGCAAAGAUAUACAAAGAAGAAUAUAUAUGAGCUUAUAUAAUGAAGUUUUAGUGGGCUUUCAUGAACAAGUCAAGCCAAAUCACAAGUGAGAAGCCUACCAUCUGUUCAGCCGGCCUGGGAUUCAGGCAGACAGUGGACUGGCAAGCACCCUGGGAGACUGAGGUAGGAGGUGGCCUGAGGAGACAAGAGAGGAACAAGGAUCUAGAACCAGCCUUCAGCCUGGCUUUUGGUAGAAAACCUGAAGUCACCCUCUUCCCCAAGUUUGGGGAACUUGCUCUGAGGGCGAAGUCUUCACUGGCUUUCUGA
rnacentral:lncRNA from 1 species